AUUGAACGCUGGCGGCAGGCCUAACACAUGCAAGUCGAACGGUAACAGGAAGAAGCUUGCUUCUUUGCUGACGAGUGGCGGACGGGUGAGUAAUGUCUGGGAAACUGCCUGAUGGAGGGGGAUAACUACUGGAAACGGUAGCUAAUACCGCAUAACGUCGCAAGACCAAAGAGGGGGACCUUCGGGCCUCUUGCCAUCGGAUGUGCCCAGAUGGGAUUAGCUAGUAGGUGGGGUAACGGCUCACCUAGGCGACGAUCCCUAGCUGGUCUGAGAGGAUGACCAGCCACACUGGAACUGAGACACGGUCCAGACUCCUACGGGAGGCAGCAGUGGGGAAUAUUGCACUAUGGGCGCAAGCCUGAUGCAGCCAUGCCGCGUGUAUGAAGAAGGCCUUCGGGUUGUAAAGUACUUUCAGCGGGGAGGAAGGGAGUAAAGUUAAUACCUUUGCUCAUUGACGUUACCCGCAGAAGAAGCACCGGCUAACUCCGUG
rnacentral:rRNA from 1 species